AUGGAAACUGGAUCUCCAGGCCUCACAGCAGAGAGGAGCCCCCAGCCAGUUCACGGGCAGCCAGGAUGUUUUGCUAUUUGCCCCUUCCCAGAGGACAGGGCCUCUGGAGAGCUCACCAGCAGAGUGUGUAGGAAUGCAGUCGGUGCUUCCUCAGGACCCCCCUGAGAGGCCUCUGGCCCUUUGCCCGAAGGAACAGAAAGAGCUUCCCAGUCGAUGUGGCCAAUGAGGGGGGCACCCUGUUCACCUCCUCGAGGGAAGCAUCGGAUCACCACCCCCCUGCCCGUGAGGCCCAGUGCAGGCUUCAGGUGAGUGUGCCCAUGGAGGGAUCAGCCCAACUGGCAAUGAAGAGGAAGUGGGGAAGGCCUACUCCACACACACCACCCAGGACACAUCCCAGGGCCCAGUCUCAGGCUGCCAUGGAACUCAGCACACCCGGCUCUGACCCUGAGCCCCAAGAACACCUGCCUCUGAGGCAGCAGGAGGACCUGGAGCCCAGCACGGCAGAGCACAGAGCUCUAGCACUGGCCUCUAAUUACAACCAGACUCCGCUUCCAAGUCCUGGCCCUACAGCAGUGGGUGCUACAUAUGCAAAACCCAGGGAUCCACUGAGGGGAGAUCAAGACCUGAGACUUCCCUUCCCAAAUACACUGGGCCAGCUGGAUACUGGCCAGCACACUGGGUAUAUCAGACCUCUGUGCCUGCAGGACCCCCAGCCAAAGGCACCAAUGUCCCACCCCCUCAGUGAGAACAUCCACCUCCACCUGCACCUGUACCUGCUCGGGCUUUGGCAAGAGAACCCGAGUCAGGGGAUGAGUCACCACGUCUGCAGGGAGAGCCUGCCCUGGCUCCUGCCCAAGAUGCCCACAAUGACUGACCCACCCCUGCAGGGAGAACGGGCCCCUGCUCUGGACAGAGACCCAGAGCCCUUUCUGAAAACACCUAGUCCAGGGGAGCGGUUGGCUCUGCAGCCUCCAUCCCUGCCUGCUUCCCGUGGAUGCCAUCAACUCGCUCCCCACCCAGGGCAGAUUGAGUGCCCUUCCCCUGAGCUUAUUUGCAUCUGGU
ensembl:lncRNA